rnacentral:rRNA from 1 species
AUGAACGCUGACAGAAUGCUUAACACAUGCAAGUCUACUUGAACUUCGGUUUGGGUGGCGGACGGGUGAGUAACGCGUAAAGAACUUGCCUCACAGUUAGGGACAACAUUUGGAAACGAAUGCUAAUACCUGAUAUUAUGAUUUUAGGGCAUCCUAAAAUUAUGAAAGCUAUAUGCGCUGUGAGAGAGCUUUGCGUCCCAUUAGCUAGUUGGAGAGGUAACGGCUCACCAAGGCGAUGAUGGGUAGCCGGCCUGAGAGGGUGAACGGCCACAAGGGGACUGAGACACGGCCCUUACUCCUACGGGAGGCAGCAGUGGGGAAUAUUGGACAAUGGACCAAAAGUCUGAUCCAGCAAUUCUGUGUGCACGAUGACGUUUUUCGGAAUGUAAAGUGCUUUCAGUUGGGAAGAAAAAAAUGACGGUACCAACAGAAGAAGUGACGGCUAAAUACGUG